UACGAAGGGGGCUAGCGUUGCUCGGAAUCACUGGGCGUAAAGCGCACGUAGGCGGAUUCUUAAGUCAGGGGUGAAAUCCUGGAGCUCAACUCCAGAACUGCCUUUGAUACUGAGGGUCUUGAGUUCGGGAGAGGUGAGUGGAACUGCGAGUGUAGAGGUGAAAUUCGUAGAUAUUCGCAAGAACACCAGUGGCGAAGGCGGCUCACUGGCCCGAUACUGACGCUGAGGUGCGAAAGCGUGGGGAGCGAACCGG
rnacentral:rRNA from 1 species